AGAAGACUUCACAAUUUAAUGCCUCAGUUUUUAAAAAAGGAUCCUUACACUUCAUGUCUCCUAGCCAUCAGAAGAGGAAUGAGACAGCAAAAGUUCAAAUGGCCUGUUUCAAGUUUCUGAUAUAAAACGAUGACAUUUUCAGGAAAAUCCUGGAAGAAGUUGAAGCUUUGAUAUGAGUAAACAAGUAUCUCUACCUGAAAUGAUUAAAGACUGGACCAAAGAGCAUGUGAAAAAAUGGGUAAAUGAAGACCUUAAGAUUAAUGAGCAAUACGGGCAAAUUCUGCUCAGUGAAGAAGUAACAGGAUUAGUCCUGCAGGAAUUAACUGAGAAGGACCUUGUAGAAAUGGGGCUACCAUGGGGUCCAGCACUUUUGAUAAAACG
rnacentral:lncRNA from 1 species